CUAGUCAAUGUUAGUAAUUCUUUUGUUGCUACCCUUGGGUGGCAAGCAUGUGCAAAUGACUAUGCUAACCAAGUUUUUCCUACACAUAUAGGUUUAGCCAGAAUGCCUCCAAAUGUUGUCGGCCACAUUGGUUUGCCGAAUGUUACUCUGUUUAUACCUUUUUCUCGGGGAGCAAUCAGGCCAUAAACAGAGGAGUUAACAACGGGGAACACUCAUAUCAGUUUUCAUCCACUGGGGACCACCU
rnacentral:lncRNA from 1 species